CAGGACGAACGCUGGCGGCGUGCUUAACACAUGCAAGUCGAGCGGUAAGGCCUUUCGGGGUACACGAGCGGCGAACGGGUGAGUAACACGUGGGUGAUCUGCCCUGCACUUCGGGAUAAGCCUGGGAAACUGGGUCUAAUACCGGAUAUGACCUCCUAUCGCAUGGUGGGUGGUGGAAAGUAUUUAUCGGUGCAGGAU
rnacentral:rRNA from 1 species